AAAAUGCUACAACUUAGCCUUCGUUUGGGAUUGCGGGGAGAUUGCGUUACAUGCGGUGAGAAAGUACGUUGGAAAAAUACCCUGUUUGUUCCCGUACGUAAUAUUGCGUUCCGCAUAUCGCGAUGAGUCGGUUACGAUACAUUUUCUGCAGUUUCACUGGAGAACGCUGAAGCAUAUCCCUAUAUGCUUUUUCUUAACUUUAUUUUAUAUAAAAUAGUGUUAAAUAGAUCUCAAUACCAAACUAAGCCUUAAUCAAUAGUAUGGGUCACGAUACGAGACAGAAUCAAGGUUUUAAUGUAAAAGUUAAAAAAGUAUAGGUUAUUGAACAUUCACCUUAGAAGAUUAAAGAAAAAUUGGAUCCAAUUGGUUAGUUGGUUCGAUUAUAAUCCAGUCUAUA
rnacentral:lncRNA from 1 species